CUUGAGUAGAGCAUGUCUGGUCUUGGGUGCUGGGAGAUGGGAAAAGAGUGAUUAUUUCCCCUUAAUUUCCACAGUGGGAAGACUUGGCAAGAUAGCUCUGGAAGAUAGCUCCAGCUCAGGAAGAAGACCCUGCAGCCCAUUUCCUUUCAAAAGGCAGAGAUGAACAUUUUCCCUGGCCGUCUUGAAAUACACCAAUAUGUUUGGAAAUAAAGAGACUUGGCUUCCUGGUCCUGCUCUAAGAUGGGAGCUUAAACCUAUGGAAUGUGACACCACU